GAUGAAGAACGCAGCGAAAUGCGAUACUUGGUGUGAAUUGCAGAAUCCCGUGAACCAUCGAGUCUUUGAACGCAAGUUGCGCCCGAAGCCAUUAGGCCGAGGGCACGCCUGCCUGGGCGUCACACGUCGUUGCCCCCCCAUCUACUCCUUCGGGAUUGCGGGGGCGGAUGAUGGCCUCUCGUGCGCCUCGUCGCGCGGUUGGCCUAAAUGCCAAGUCCUCGGCGACGCACGCCACGACAAUCGGUGGUUGCGAAACCUCGGUUGCCUGUCGUGUGCGGUCGUCGCGCAUCGAGGGCUCGAAAAAAUUGCCGGGCUUCGGCUCGACUUUCAACGCGACCCCAGGUCAGGCGGGGUUACCCGCUGAAUUUAAGCAUAUCAAUAAGCGGAGGA
rnacentral:misc_RNA from 1 species